UACGUAGGGUGCAAGCGUUUGUCCGGAAUUAUUGGGCGUAAAGAGCUCGUAGGCGGUCUGUCGCGUCUGCUGUGAAAACUCGGGGCUUAACCCCGGGCCUGCAGUGGGUACGGGCAGACUAGAGUGCGGUAGGGGAGACUGGAAUUCCUGGUGUAGCGGUGAAAUGCGCAGAUAUCAGGAGGAACACCGGUGGCGAAGGCGGGUCUCUGGGCCGAUACUGACGCUGGAGGAG
rnacentral:rRNA from 1 species